GUUAAGGUUACAUCAUUCUCGGCUCUCGACCAAUGAAUAAUAUUUUUACACGAUAACCGGUUGGCUUCGGUUUGUGUUUGUUUAAGUAGUUUAUCUCAAUGUAAUGCUAUCGAUCUUAACGCAAAACGUUUGUUAUGCUUUCGUAAUACAAUGAGUGAUAUUUUAAUUUACCUCUGUGUUAAUUCAUUAUCGUACAAUGGUGAUAAAGUAGAAAUGUGUAUGCCUGUUUGAAAUAGAAAAUAACGAGGAUAAAACUAGAAGCUCAAAUGUAGGCAGCAGAACUCCAUGGUGUCCAGGCUUGGCAAGGAUGGAGCCGUAGGGGUCGGCGCCGACGAUGAUACACUCGGGGCACUCCUUCUUGAUUUUGGAGGAGGUGCCGGAGAUGGUGCCGCUGGUGCCGGCGCCCAUCACCACCAUGUCCACCUUGCCGUCCGUCGCCCACAGGAUCUCUUCCGCCGUCCCGUCGUAGUGCGCCAACGGGUUGUGAGGGUUGUUGUACUGGGUUGGGGAACAAUCACAUUUAUAUUUAGAGCAACAAUCUAGUCAAAUGUGAUAACUACUUUUUAUGAAAUAAUACUUUGAAAAUACAAAAGAAUUACGUCGCCAAUAAAGCCAGUUGCCAGUUGUCAAACGUCGAACUGUUUGUUUUGUUGGGUGAUUAAUUCGUAAAUAAGUCGAAUAGAAAAAUGGGAUUGGAAUUUGAACAUUUUAGCUUAUUUAUUUAUUAUGGUGCAGCAGCAGUACAUACACAAACACACAAAAUAAAAUAUACAUAGGAAAAGUUAUCACAUUAUAUGUUGUAAUUUUUUUGUAAUUAUAAAAUUAGAAAAUCCGAUUCAAGGGGGUGGCGUACCAGAAAUAUGCAAGUGUCUAAAUAUAGUUGAUCCGUAGAUAAUGGUAGCAUAUUGACGACAUCUUUACGACGGCAAGACAAAUUCCAAAAGAAAUGAAUGUUAACGAUGAGCUACAUAGGUAGGCGUAGGUACAUAUCGCAUUCAGAAUCGCAAAAAGAGAAGCUUCUUGUAGUCAGUAAAAGCUAAUGAGCAUAAUCGUAAUCGUAUAAGAAUCAUCUGUGUUUAAUAGAACAUGUGAUCCUACACGUGUCGAUCGCUGCCGUUGCUUAUCAGUUAAUAAGCAUACAUUCUUGUAGCAAGGCGGAGUACAUUGCCAUCUAGCAUGCUUUGGAGCAGAGAAAAUAUUUAGAUUAGGCUACAACAGCUGAUUGUGCGAUUACGCUGGAAUACGAUUAAAAUGUAUGGGAUUGACAUGGACGAAUCUUGUGACGUUUCAUAAGCUAAUAUAUCCUUCCUGAGUCUCCUUCCAAGCCUACACAAGAUGUUAGUGACAUCGUAACGAAUACUUAGGGGGAUUAUUCAGACCAUGAUUGUGAAUUGAUAUCAAGUAGAAUUUCCUGUCGGAAAAUUAAUGUAAAUUUUAGUGCUUUUUUAUUUUCAGUUCCUUACUUUGCGAUAGAAAAAUCCAUUUGAUAUAAACUCAGAAUCGACCCUCAAAGUUUCCGUUACGAUGUCACUCCUGUACAGAGAAGUAUGGACAAAAGGGAGAGAGGCUUUUGCCCUGCUGCAGUAGUGUAGGCUAAUAAUAGUACCAGUCUUAUAAGUACAUAAUAUUUUUUCUACGUAUCCUAUGCCGAUAAAUACAUAGAAAAGCUCUUUGUCUUGGCCCUAGUUAAAAUUUAAUGGGACUUGGUAAUUGUGUAUAGGUUACUGCUGAACUUGUUAAUUUAACGACAUUCCCUACUAGGGGUCGUAAACUAUUUUACGAUUAGAAGCAAGCAUUUAAAUCUUCAUUGUUCGUCCCCACUCGAGAUUGAUGGUGGAAAAUACAUUAAUGUUCAUUGAUAUACGACAUAUAGAAGAAGGUUUCUAGAAAAGAGUAAUGAUAGCUUUGAUUGUUCGCCUAUAGGUACGGUUUGCAUCGUAGUACGUUAUUAACUCAGUAGCAACACAAAUGGGUAUAUAUGCAGCAAGAAAGUCAUUAAUGUUUGAAAGGAUUCUGUUGCUAGUUUCUCAUGUUAUGCAAUGAAACAUUAAUUCUUAAAUAACGUAAUGUUGUAGCUGUAGAAUUAUUUAUUUUUGUUACUAUAGGGUUCCAAAUGCAGCCGGCAUUAUUAGAGUGAAAAACUAAAUCUAUCGUGCUAUUUAAUUAAACUGCUGGGAAUGUUUGGGAAUAAAUAACAUAGGUAAGUAAACAGUUUAUAGGUGUCCAACGUAUAUGCACGUGUAGGUACGUGCGUAUGCGUUGGCCAGCUGUGUACAGGUCUCUCCUCAAUCAAGUGGAGGCGGAAUCGGAGUGAUCAGGGAAUUAACGAGUAAUAAAUGUCCUACCUGAUCCAAUAUGACGCUUCCUUUGAUCUCCUGACUCAGCCUCUUGGCGACCUGUAUGUUGCUUUCAGGGUCGUCAGAGUGCACGUCUGUGGGCGUCUUCACUACCUCCGCGCCAAGAGCCAGAAUCGUGUUAACCUUCUCAUCAGACAUUUUGUCUGGGAUCACUAUUAUGCACCUGUAGCCUGGUUGGGUCAUAGAAAAUCAAGGUCAGAUCAGAAGUGAAUACAACAGAAAGAACACUCAGUAAAUACAUGAUCAUUUUACCAACAAAACAGAGGUUGCUAAAGUAGGUUGAGCUUGUAUCUUGGAAAAUAUAGGAGAUUAGCCAUGUCAAUUGAAAUAAACUAAAUCAAUUGUUUUUAGUAUUAAUGAAAAUUCCGCCUAUUGAAAUCUCAAAAUGACUGUUUCUAUGGCAUAAAAUUUACAUUAAAAAUAUUGGCUUACCUUUGACGGCAGCAGUCAUAGCGAGUCCUAUGCCAGUAUUCCCUGAAGUUGGUUCAAUAAGUGUGGUCACACCAGGUUUUAUCCGUCCGGCCUUUUCAGCUUCCAACACCAUUCGGUACGCAAUACGGUCCUUUAUAGAUCCACCAGGAUUCUCAUACUCCAGUUUUGCAUCUGAAAGUAUCUUAUUAUUUAGAUUUUAUUUUCUUUCCUAAUAUAGGGACUUAGUCGGUAGGUAUUAUAGCUUGAUAUUACAGCUUGUUUGAGUUUUUAUUUUAAAUUACUAUAUGAAUAUCAAAAAAUUUUUUAAUUAUGUGUCAGGUACCUAAUGAACUUAUUAUGUAUAAAAUUAAAUUAAAACCUAAGUUAUUUUAUUAUUUAAAAAAAUAGUUAUUUAAACUUACAAAUAUCACAUUUUAUUCCCUCGGCCUGGGGAAUCUUAUUCAGCUUAAUUAAAGGAGUAAUACCAAUCAAAUCCAGAAUACUGUCCAGGGUUUUUUUUCUCACGUCGAACCUAAAGAUAUAAUAAUACAUAUUAAUUUUCACCCUUUAUCAAUCGAGAAUAAAUUACAUGCUGUAACAA